GGGGCGGGCGUGCCUAAUACAUGCAAGUCGAGCGGACAGAUGGGAGCUUGCUCCCUGAUGUUAGCGGCGGACGGGUGAGUAACACGUGGGUAACCUGCCUGUAAGACUGGGAUAACUCCGGGAAACCGGGGCUAAUACCGGAUGCUUGAUUGAACCGCAUGGUUCAAUUAUAAAAGGUGGCUUUUAGCUACCACUUACAGAUGGACCCGCGGCGCAUUAGCUAGUUGGUGAGGUAACGGCUCACCAAGGCAACGAUGCGUAGCCAACCUGAGAGGGUGAUCGGCCACACUGGGACUGAGACACGGCCCAGACUCCUACGGGAGGCAGCAGUAGGGAAUCUUCCGCAAUGGACGAAAGUCUGACGGAGCAACGCCGCGUGAGUGAUGAAGGUUUUCGGAUCGUAAAACUCUGUUGUUAGGGAAGAACAAGUACCGUUCGAAUAGGGCGGUACCUUGACGGUACCUAACCAGAAAGCCACGGCUAACUACGUGCCAGCAGCCGCGGUAAUACGUAGGUGGCAAGCGUUGUCCGGAAUUAUUGGGCGUAAAGCGCGCGCAGGCGGUUUCUUAAGUCUGAUGUGAAAGCCCCCGGCUCAACCGGGGAGGGUCAUUGGAAACUGGGGAACUUGAGUGCAGAAGAGGAGAGUGGAAUUCCACGUGUAGCGGUGAAAUGCGUAGAGAUGUGGAGGAACACCAGUGGCGAAGGCGACUCUCUGGUCUGUAACUGACGCUGAGGCGCGAAAGCGUGGGGAGCGAACAGGAUUAGAUACCCUGGUAGUCCACGCCGUAAACGAUGAGUGCUAAGUGUUAGAGGGUUUCCGCCCUUUAGUGCUGCAGCAAACGCAUUAAGCACUCCGCCCGGGGGAGUACGGUCGCAGACUGAAACUCAUAGAAUUGACGGGGGCCCGCACAAGCCGUGAGCAUGUAGUUUAAUUCGAAGCAACGCCGAAGAACAUACAGUCUGGACAUCGUCUGACAUCCUAGAGAUAGGCUGCGCUUCGGGGCAGAUGACAGUGUUGCAUGAUGUCGUCAGCUCUGUCAUGAGAUGUGGGUAAGUACCGCACAACGCACAUGGAUCUAGUUGCCACAUUCACUGCACUAAGGUAAUCGCGGUACACGACAGCGAUGACGUCGAUCAUGCCAGUUAGGACUGCUAGACGUUCCAAUGCGUACCAGGGACUAUCUCAGCUAGAUCGACGU
rnacentral:rRNA from 1 species